rnacentral:rRNA from 1 species
CCUACGGGAGGCAGCAGUAGGGAAUCUUCCACAAUGGGCGAAAGCCUGAUGGAGCAACGCCGCGUGGGUGAAGAAGGUCUUCGGAUCGUAAAACCCUGUUGUUAGAGAAGAAAGUGCGUGAGAGUAACUGUUCACGUUUCGACGGUAUCUAACCAGAAAGCCACGGCUAACUACGUGCCAGCAGCCGCGGUAAUACGUAGGUGGCAAGCGUUAUCCGGAUUUAUUUGGCGUAAAGGGAACGCAGGCGGUCUUUUAAGUCUGAUGUGAAAGCCUUCGGCUUAACCGGAGUAGUGCAUUGGAAACUGGGAGACUUGAGUGCAGAAGAGGAGAGUGGAACUCCAUGUGUAGCGGUGAAAUGCGUAGAUAUAUGGAAGAACACCAGUGGCGAAAGCGGCUCUCUGGCCUGUAACUGACGCUGAGGUUCGAAAGCGUGGGUAGCAAACAGGAUUAGAUACCCCAGUAGUC